ACUUCAAACAUUGAUCCGAGCAAAAUGUGCAAACCAGUUUUGGUUCUUUGAUUAAAAAAUGGGUUAAGAGGUAAUUAUUUAGGCAAUGUUGUGGUUAUAAUGCAUAGAAAGUCAGUGCUAUUUUUUAUUAAGCUUGCAAUGUGGUCAAAUGUACAAUAAAAUCCAAAUGUAUUAAAGGACAAAGUUACUGAGCAAAAUGUUUGAUAACGACCUUGCAUGUUUAACUUUUGUGCAAGCUUUCAAAUACUU